rnacentral:rRNA from 1 species
GAGUUUGAUCGUGGCUCAGAUUGAACGCUGGCGGCAUGCCUAACACAUGCAAGUCGAACGAAGGCUUCGGCCUUAGUGGCGCACGGGUGCGUAACGCGUGGGAAUCUGCCCUUUGCUUCGGAAUAACAGUGGGAAACUACUGCUAAUACCGGAUGAUGUCUUCGGACCAAAGAUUUAUCGGCAAGGGGUGAGCCCGCGUAGGAUUAGGUAGUUGGUGGGGUAAAGGCCUACCAAGCCGACGAUCCUUAGCUGGUCUGAGAGGAUGAUCAGCCACACUGGGACUGAGACACGGCCCAGACUCCUACGGGAGGCAGCAGUGGGGAAUAUUGGACAAUGGGGGGAACCCUGAUCCAGCAAUGCCGCGUGAGUGAUGAAGGCCUUAGGGUUGUAAAGCUCUCUUACCAGGGAUGAUAAUGACAGUACCUGGAGAAUAAGCUCCGGCUAACUCCGCGCCAGCAGCCGCCGCAGUAAG